rnacentral:rRNA from 1 species
CGUUGGGGUGCUCGAGUGGCGAACGGGUGAGUAACACGUGAGUAACCUGCCCUUGACUUUGGGAUAACUUCAGGAAACUGGGGCUAAUACCGGAUAGGAGCUCCUGCUGCAUGGUGGGGGUUGGAAAGUUUCGGCGGUUGGGGAUGGACUCGCGGCUUAUCAGCUUGUUGGUGGGGUAGUGGCUUACCAAGGCUUUGACGGGUAGCCGGCCUGAGAGGGUGACCGGCCACAUUGGGACUGAGAUACGGCCCAG